CUACGGGGUGCACCAGUGAGGAAUAUUGCACAAUGGGGGGAACCCUGAUGCAGCAACGCCGCGUGGAGGAUGACGCAUUUCGGUGUGUAAACUCCUUUUAUAUGUCAAGAAAAUGACGGUAGCAUAUGAAUAAGCACCGGCUAACUCCGUGCCAGCAGCCGCGGUAAUACGGAGGGUGCAAGCGUUACUCGGAAUCACUGGGCGUAAAGGGCGCGUAGGCGGGUUGGAAAGUCAGGUGUGAAAUCCUACAGCUUAACUGUAGAACUGCACUUGAAACUUCUAAUCUAGAGUAUGGGAGGGGGAGAUGGAAUUAGUGGUGUAGGGGUAAGAUCCGUAGAUAUCACUAGGAAUACCUAAAGCGAAGGCGAUCUCCUGGAACAUUACUGACGCUAAGGCGUGAAAGCGUGGGGAGCAAACAGGAUUAGAUACCCCGGUAGUC
rnacentral:rRNA from 1 species